AAGUUGCUUUAAGUACUAAUAAGCAAUUUACAAAAUGUUUGAAAUAUUUUACAUUAUCCUAUCUUUAUAAGAAAUGCAGUUAUUUUCAUAUUUUAAACAUAAACAAACAGCAUAAAAACAUGUGUGAUAACAAUUGGAUACAUUUAGCAAGUCUUGAAGAAAAUGCGCAAACAACAAUUAGACUUGUUGUUAAUACUGAUGGAAUUCCUGUUUUUAAAUUAUCAAAGUGGACCUUGUGGCCUUUGCUAGCAUCCAUUCAUAAUUUUCCAUAUUCAUUGCAAAUUACUAAUAUUUUGUUUUUUGGUUUCUGGUCCAGUUUUAAAAAACCAAACGUUCAAUUAUUUUUAUCUUGUUUUGUUGAUUUUUUUACUAAACUAUCCACUACUGGUAUACUCUUAGCUAAUAAUGUUCGUGUUUUUUUUUUCAUGUAUCUAUUUUUUUGUGUGAUACAAUUGCAGGAGCUAUGGUUUUUUGUUGUAGGUAGUUUAAUGAUUAUAAUGGUUGCCAUUGGUGUUCUUCUCAAGGGGUAAGAGUUAGAAAAGAAGACACUGUACUGUUGUAAAUAAUCUUUUAUCUGCAAUCAGUGUGCCAAGCAAUAUAAGACAGACUCGAUGAUCAUUAAGUUGUAUAAAGCAUUGGAAAGG
rnacentral:misc_RNA from 1 species